rnacentral:tRNA from 1 species
GGGCCAGUGAGCUCAGCUGGUUAGAGCGUGGUGCUGGUAACACCAAGUUUGUGGGUUCAAGACCCGCUUGGUCCC